ACAUUGAUAGCUUAAUUAUAGAGCACAGCACUGAAGAUGCUGGGGUAACAAAUAUUGUUUCAAAGUA
rnacentral:tRNA from 1 species